AGUUUAAUUGGUAUAAUACGCUUUCAUUAUUUUAGUUUUCUCUCUUUCAGAACUGGAUUGGUAACUACAAAAGGUCCAAAGCUGCUUCUGAGCCCUGGCAGUCAAAGCCCAAAAUACACACAAGAGAACUGUCACCAUACAAUCUUUUAUGUAGGGACAUUCUCAGAAACAAAGAUGCAGCACAAUGCCACCCCACUGACUCAGCAGAGGGAAGUUUAGAACACAUCAACGCAGAAUACACAGCAGAUGACCUCCAGACGAAGUCGGUGGAAGAGAUAUUAGAGGCCAUGUGUGAAAAUGGUGCACAGCAGAUGGAAGAGGAAUCCUCAGAAACAACCAGUAAUGUAGCCAUCCUGAUGACUGCAGAUGAAGAUCGAGGCAGUUUGCGCUGUGUCUGCCACAUCCAUUUUGUUGACAAGAAGAAGAAUGCUACAAAGAAGUGGCGUUCAUGGUCGCAGUGCACAGUGUGCCAACUGUGGUCACACACUGCAUGUGGAUUUAAAAGCAACAUGUGCCUUCACUGCCAGUGUCAAACCACCACGCACACACGCUGACCUUUUGCAUCAGUGUUAGGAAACAUGUAAUGUUUACUGCUUUCCAAGGUUGAGUUGAGUUUAAGUUGUUUGAGUUUUCUUACUGUGUUGACAGUAAGCAGCAGUUUUUUCUAUUAAAAAUGAAAUUUAUAUAAAUCUCGGCGCUACAUAUAUUUUGCCCUGUAAGAAGAAAACAGUGAAAUUUUCAUUCAGCCUAAUUAAGAUUCCUUUUAUUUAUUGUUGAUGUUUGUUGGCCCCAUCGAUGUGGUCCCUUUUUAAACUGUGCCAUGUGGGGAACUAAAUAAAGUUCUACUGAAUUGAGUAC